rnacentral:rRNA from 1 species
CCUACGGGAGGCAGCAGUAAGGAAUAUUGGUCAAUGGAGGCAACUCUGAACCAGCCAUGCCGCGUGCAGGAUGAAGGCCCUAUGGGUCGUAAACUGCUUUUACACAAGAGAAAACCCCGGUACGUGUACCGGGUUGAUAGUAUUGUGAGAAUAAGCAUCGGCUAACUUCGUGCCAGCAGCCGCGGUAAGACGAAGGAUGCAAGCGUUAUCCGGAUUCAUUGGGUUUAAAGGGUGCGUAGGCGGACUUGUAAGUCAGUGGUGAAAUCUCUUUGCUUAACAAGAAACUGCCAUUGAUACCGCAGGUCUAGAGUAUAGAUGACGUUGGCGGAAUAUGACAUGUAGUGGUGAAAUACUUAGAUAUGUCAUAGAACACCGAUUGCGAAGGCAGCUAACGAAACUAUAACUGACGCUGAGGCACGAAAGUGCGGGGAUCAAACAGGAUUAGAUACCCUGGUAGUCCGCACCGUAAACGAUGAUUACUCGUUGUUGGCAAUAUGACCGUCAGCGACCAAGCGAAAGCGAUAAGUAAUCCACCUGGGGAGUACGCCGGCAACGGUGAAACUCAAAGGAUUGACGG